CCGACUCACCCCUCUCACCAUUUGGCUCUCUCUUUGUGCGGUCACUAACUUUGCUGUUUUCAGUUCCUUCUCAUUUUUUUUAUCUAUAUUUUUUUUUAGCUUUGCUUCUUGUCUUUCUGUAAUGUCUAUGUAUUUGUAUUCUCUUCUUUUGUUCUAUGUAUUCUCUUUCUUGGUUUUCUUCGAAUUAUCAGGCUCCAAAAAAACGGAAGGAAGGAGUAUGCAGGUGACAUCACUGCUCCUUUUUUAAAAAGGCUUGGCGACUGGAGUCUUAAUGUAGUAUCGAAUCAGUGUGACAUUUGUGUGAGAGUGAAUGCAAUUCCUUCUGUUGUCCAAAGGGGUGUACUUUUAAAGACUUGGUGCUGACUGGUUGUAACAGCAACUCCAUGUGGAAGGAUUGUGUCUUCCAGUGGAGCUGCUGUUGCGUGCAGAUAGUCACCUUCAACUGCCUGAGCUACACAGGAAAUGUUUUCCUUGAAAUGCAUGAGUAAUAUAUGCUGCUAACUAAACUAAGAUCAGAUAUGUAAAAAAACAAAAACAAACAAACAAACAACAACAACAACAACAACAACAAAAAGAUUUAAGUCAAAACUUGUAUUUAAGCUAAUAACCAAUAGUUUUCAUAUACAACUAGAGAGUAUGUUUAACCCAGUGUCUAGGAAGUAGGGUGAUGACCUAUGAAUUGACAGCCAGUGUUUGCAGUCCAGCUGCCUGUCAGUUCUGUAGGCCACUGUCCUGUUUGCCCUGCUAAACACACACUGAUUUGUACAGCAUAAAAUGAAUGCAGAAUGCCAUAAAACAGACUUGUAUAAAUGAACUAUGCAGUUAGGCUAAAGAAUUGUAAAAACAUCAUAAUGCAAUGUUCAUGUUUUUAUUCUAAUGUAACUAUUAAAACUAAUUCAGUUGCAUUAAAUUAUUUUAAAAUCAA